CGAUGGUUCAUUCAAAUUUCUGCCCUAUCAAGUUUCGAUGGUAGGAUAGAGGCCUACCAUGCUUGGGGACGGGUAACGGCGAAUUAGGGUUCGAUUCCGGAGAGGGAGCCUGAGAAACGGCUACCACAUCUAAGGAAGGCAGCAGGCGCGCAAAUUACCCAAUCCUGAUUCAGGGAGGUAGUGACAAUAAAUAACAAUCCAGGACUUCGGUCUUGGAAUUGGAAUGAGAACAAUUUAAAUCUCUUAUCGAGGAACAAUUGGAGGGCAAGUCUGGUGCCAGCAGCCGCGGUAAUUCCAGCUCCAAUAGCGUAUAUUAAAGUUGUUGCAGUUAAAAAGCUCGUAGUUGAACCUUGGGCCUGGCUGGCCGGUCCGCCUCACCGCGUGCACUGGUCCGGCCGGGUCUUUCCUUCUGGGGAGCCUCAUGCCCUUCACUGGGUGUGUUGGGGAACCAGGACUUUUACUUUGAAAAAAUUAGAGUGUUCAAAGCAGGCCUAUGCUCGAAUACAUUAGCAUGGAAUAAUAGA
rnacentral:rRNA from 1 species